rnacentral:tRNA from 1 species
AAAGAUUUAGUUUAUAAUAAAACAUAUGAUUGUCAAACAUAAAAUACCUUUAAGUAAUCUUUU